GAUGAACGCUGACAGAAUGCUUAACACAUGCAAGUCAACUUGAACUUCGGUUUGGGUGGCGGACGGGUGAGUAACGCGUAAAGAACUUGCCUCACAGUUAGGGACAACAUUUGGAAACGAAUGCUAAUACCUGAUAUUAUGAUUUUAGGGCAUCCUAGAAUUAUGAAAGCUAUAUGCGCUGUGAGAGAGCUUUGCGUCCCAUUAGCUAGUUGGAGAGGUAACGGCUCACCAAGGCGAUGAUGGGUAGCCGGCCUGAGAGGGUGAACGGCCACAAGGGGACUGAGACACGGCCCUUACUCCUACGGGAGGCAGCAGUGGGGAAUAUUGGACAAUGGACCAAGAGUCUGAUCCAGCAAUUCUGUGUGCACGAUGAAGUUUUUCGGAAUGUAAAGUGCUUUCAGUUGAGAAGAAAAAAAUGACGAUACCAACAGAAGAAGUGACGGCUAAAUACGUG
rnacentral:rRNA from 1 species